rnacentral:tRNA from 1 species
GUAGUGGUAAUUCAAUGGUAGAAUUCUCUCCUUUCAUGCAGGAGACCCAGGUUUGAUUCCUGGCCAUUGCA